rnacentral:rRNA from 1 species
UACGGAGGGUGCGAGCGUUGUCCGGAAUCACUGGGCGUAAAGGGCGCGUAGGCGGCCUGGGAAGUCGGCGGUGAAAGCCCGGGGCUCAACCCCGGGUCGGCCGUCGAGACUCCUCGGCUCGAGCUCACUAGAGGCAGAUGGAAUUCCGGGUGUAGCGGUGGAAUGCGUAGAGAUCCGGAAGAACACCGGUGGCGAAGGCGGUCUGCUGGGGUGAGGCUGACGCUGAGGCGCGACAGCGUGGGGAGCAAACAGG